GGGAAGGUAGCUCAGUGGUAGAGUGCAUGCCUUGCAAGCAUGAGACCCUGGGUUCGAUUCCUCAGCACCA
rnacentral:tRNA from 1 species